rnacentral:rRNA from 1 species
GAGUGAACGCUGGCGGUAGGCCUAACACAUGCAAGUCGAACGGCAGCACAGUAAGAGCUUGCUCUUACGGGUGGCGAGUGGCGGACGGGUGAGGAAUACAUCGGAAUCUACUUUUUCGUGGGGGAUAACGUAGGGAAACUUACGCUAAUACCGCAUACGACCUACGGGUGAAAGCAGGGGAUCUUCGGACCUUGCGCGAUUGAAUGAGCCGAUGUCGGAUUAGCUAGUUGGCGGGGUAAAGGCCCACCAAGGCGACGAUCCGUAGCUGGUCUGAGAGGAUGAUCAGCCACACUGGAACUGAGACACGGUCCAGACUCCUACGGGAGGCAGCAGUGGGGAAUAUUGGACAAUGGGCGCAAGCCUGAUCCAGCCAUACCGCGUGGGUGAAGAAGGCCUUCGGGCUGUAAAGCCCUUUUGUUGGGAAAGAAAAGCAGCAGGUUAAUACCCCGCUGUUCUGACGGUACCCAAAGAAUAAGCACCGGCUAACUUCGUG